CCUCGCACCGCCGCCGAGAAAACAAUUCAUGGGAAUGGGUCCUUCUCCCGUUUCACGUCCCAUCCUGCGUUUGGCAGACGUCACGGCUACAUCUCUCACAAAUCUCUCCAGCCGGUGGCAUUGAGAUGAAACCUGCUAAGCUGACGCUCACUCCAUCAGGCUGAGGCUUUACAGAUGUGCAGAACAGGCAGCAUUUGAUCACAGCACUGAAGAAAAGGUUGGCAACCCCUUUGGCCUGCCAGAUUUGCCUUCUAGGGUGAGGAGCUGCGGAUGGCGAUCCCGUGCUGAUUACACCUGUCAGUUAUCAACAAACAGGUUAAAAUGUCCCUUCCACUCUGGAUAUGUCCCUCUUGUUUCAUUCAGGUGUCAGGACUUCUCGCCGGUGAUGGUUUUUGGAAGCAUUAGCGUCU